UGGGGAAUUUUGGACAAUGGGGGAAACCCUGAUCCAGCCAUCCCGCGUGUGCGAUGAAGGCCUUCGGGUUGUAAAGCACUUUUUGCAGGAAAGAAACGUCAUGGGUUAAUACCCCGUGAAACUGACGGUACCUGCAGAAUAAGCACCGGCUAACUACGUGCCAGCAGCCGCGGUAAUACGUAGGGUGCAAGCGUUAAUCGGAAUUACUGGGCGUAAAGCGUGCGCAGGCGGUUCGGAAAGAAAGAUGUGAAAUCCCAGAGCUCAACUUUGGAACUGCAUUUUUAACUACCGGGCUAGAGGGUGUCAGAGGGAGGUGGAAUUCCGCGUGUAGCAGUGAAAUGCGUAGAUAUGCGGAGGAACACCGAUGGCGAAGGCAGCCUCCUGGGAUAACACUGACGCUCAUGCACGAAAGCGUGGGGAGCAAACAGG
rnacentral:rRNA from 1 species